rnacentral:rRNA from 1 species
UACGGAGGGUCCAAGCGUUAUCCGGAAUCAUUGGGUUUAAAGGGUCCGUAGGCGGUUUUGUAAGUCAGUGGUGAAAGCCCAUCGCUCAACGGUGGAACGGCCAUUGAUACUGCAAGACUUGAAUUAUUAGGAAGUAACUAGAAUAUGUAGUGUAGCGGUGAAAUGCUUAGAGAUUACAUGGAAUACCAAUUGCGAAGGCAGGUUACUACUAAUAUAUUGACGCUGAUGGACGAAAGCGUGGGUAGCGAACAGG